rnacentral:rRNA from 1 species
CGCGGCCUAUCAGCUUGUUGGUGAGGUAAAAGCUCACCAAGGCAACGACGGAUAGCUGGUCUGAGAGGACGAUCAGCCACACUGGGACUGGGACACGGCCCAGACUCCUACGGGAGGCUGCAGCAGGGAAUAUUGCGCAAUGAGCGAAAGCUUGACGCAGCGACACCGCGUGUGGGAUGGCGGAUCUAGGUUUGUAAACCACUUUCAGGAGGGAAGAAAAUGACGGUACCUCCACAAGAAGCCCCGGCCAACUACGUGCCAGCAGCCGCGGUAAUACGUAGGGGGCAAGCGUUGUCCGGAAUUAUUGGGCGUAAAGAGCUCGUAGGCGGUUUGUCGCGUCUGCUGUGAAAAUCCGAGGCUCAACCUCGGACCUGCAGUGGGUACGGGCAAACUAGAGUGCGGUAGGGGAGAUUGGAAUUCCUGGUGUAGCGGUGGAAUGCGCAGAUAUCAGGAGGAACACCAAUGGCGAAGGCAGAUCUCUGGGCCGUAACUGACGCUGAGGAGCGAAAGCGUGGGGAGCGAACAGGAUUAGAUACCCUGGUAGUCCACGCCGUAAACGGUGGGAACUAGAUGUGGGGUCCGUUCCACGGAUUCCGUGUCGCAGCUAACGCAUUAAGUUCCCCGCCUGGGGAGUACGG